rnacentral:lncRNA from 10 species
GAUGCCCCUCAAGAUGGCUGUGCCUGUCAGCUGCAUGGAGCUUCGUUCAAGUAUUUUCUGAGCCUGAUGGAUUUACAGUGAUCUUCAGUGGUCUGGGGAAUAACGCUGGUGGAACCAUGCACUGGAAUGACACACGCCCGGCACAUUUCAGGAUACUAAAAGUGGUUUUAAGGGAGGCUGUGGCUGAAUGCCUCAUGGAUUCUUACAGCUUGGAUGUCCAUGGGGGACGAAGGACUGCAGCUGGCUGAGAGGGUUGAGAUCUCUGUUUACUUAGAUCUCUGCCAACUUCCUUUGGGUCUCCCUAUGGAAUGUAAGACCCCGACUCUUCCUGGUGAAGCAUCUGAUGCACGUUCCAUCCGGCGCUCAGCUGGGCUUGAGAAUCAAGAGAUGCAUAUGCAGGUUUGUUACAGAGGUAUAUGGGAUGCGGUUGAAGUUUGGAGUAUGAUUGAACUCAUCACGCAGGUACUGAGC